rnacentral:lncRNA from 1 species
UUUUUUUAAAACAUUCUUCCUAAUGAAGACACAGAUAUUUUAUUAAGAGUCUUCUUUGACUUUUAAACUGAGAUCUGAAGAAAAUAAGUACGUUGGAAAUGAUUUUACAGAGUUUUGGAUGUCCUCUGAGUAGAAGGCCUGACAGCCCAAUUCUUUUGCACCACCAGAAGUUCAGAAUUGGAUCUUCAAUACAGAUGAUCUCAUCUAAUUUGUACAUUUAGCAUCGGCUCAGAGUCUCUGAGAAAAUGUCUUCAUUCAUG